rnacentral:lncRNA from 1 species
UAGACAUUGGUGAUUUAGGGGCCUCAUACAAACAAAGAUCAGUGGACCGGUGUGCUCGACAUCUGUUACAGCAUAGCUGCACCCAAAACCUUCAAACAAUUGUUCUCUUGAGCUGGUGACACCUGGUUCCCAAGUGCUUUCUGCCUAUUGGUCUCAACUCUAUUGGUUUCAUCGGCAAAUUUUCUUCUCAACUCUAUUGAUCUCAUCAUGGCCCACAUGCUUUCUGCAUUUGUUUUAAAUGUUCGAUAUGCCACGAUGAAAAUUUUGUGUCAUAAUAGAGUGCAUGAUAAUGACGGUAGAAUGUUUUUAGACCACUAGGAAAACAUCCUAACUCUCACCAUUAUUUGAUCUCUUUUAAUUGGAAAAUUGCAUUUGGCUGCCGGUGCUGUCUGUGCCA